rnacentral:lncRNA from 1 species
UGCCGACGGUGCCGUGUGAUACGGCGAUGCCAUGAGAAGUGGCAUGGCGUGACAGUGUUGGAGCAUCACAAGCUAUACGUCGAGCCGGUUGAGCCGGAUAGCCGAUAGUCAUAGGUGCAUGUAGUUUGCUUGGGCUAAUUAGUGGCCGGGUCGCUAGAGUGAUUCUAGGAGAGGAAGACCAGGUUAGCCGUUGGUACCAAGGUUAGUGCAUGAGUUAGUUAGUGCAUGUGCAAGUGUUGGCCGAGUCAAGUGUGAUGGCCGGUGUGAGUGCAUGCGUGCAUGGAGGUAGUGGGCAUGAGUAGUGCCUAGAGAGUUGGAGUUAGUGGCCAGAUGUGGCUGCCGAGUGGUGCGUGAUGGUUAGCUCCCAGUGUAUAUAUAAGUUCAGCCAAUGAAUGAGAAAAUAAAGGCCAUGAGGGCUGAGGAAAAUAUGUAGCCUGUGUGUUCGCCAAGGAGAAGAGCCUAUGGCAAAGCAUUUGUGCUCCUUCUUGGUCCAUGUGUGUGUGUUUUCUUGUGUUCUUGAGAGAAGAAGAUAGAGAGAGAAACCACAAGAGAGUUGUGUGAGGCAGCUCGAGGUAGAAGAAGAGCGGCGCUGCGAGAGCUGGCGCCAACAAUUGGUAUACAGAGCCAGGUUGAUCCGAGGCCGCGACGGCGGCGCAGUCGACUCCAUGUGAGGUGGAGGAUGAUGGUGCGAUGCUGCUGGUGUCCGGUUGCGGUACAAUGCCGCGAGGUGAUGAUGGUGUGGUGAUCGGCGCAGCAAUGGCGCUGUCCAAGUCAAGAGGAGGAUAGCCACGUGCGGCAAGUUGGCGUGGUGGCGGGCGCUGCGACCGUGUCGACCACGGCAAGAUGGUUUGUGGUGAUUGGCGCUGCGACGGGGUCGUCCACGGCAAGAUGGUGCGGGUGAUCCACUUCGAAGAUUGCCGAGUUAGGAUGACAAGAUUAGGGAGGUGAUUGUUAGAAAUAAUCUUGUCAUGAUGUAUCAUGUUUUGUUUUGUCGUUCGGCAUGUAGCUUAGGGAGUAGCUUGUCAGGGCAAAGCUUCAGUUGUGCGCACGAAGGAGGCGAGAUGCCGCGGGGCCGUGUGAUGCGGCGAGAGAGAUGAGAUGCCGACGGUGCCGUGUGAUACGGCGAUGCCAUGAGAAGUGGCAUGGCGUGACAGUGUUGGAGCAUCACAAGCUAUACGUCGAGCCGGUUGAGCCGGAUAGCCGAUAGUCAUAGGUGCAUGUAGUUUGCUUGGGCUAAUUAGUGGCCGGGUCGCUAGAGUGAUUCUAGGAGAGGAAGACCAGGUUAGCCGUUGGUACCAAGGUUAGUGCAUGAGUUAGUUAGUGCAUGUGCAAGUGUUGGCCGAGUCAAGUGUGAUGGCCGGUGUGAGUGCAUGCGUGCAUGGAGGUAGUGGGCAUGAGUAGUGCCUAGAGAGUUGGAGUUAGUGGCCAGAUGUGGCUGCCGAGUGGUGCGUGAUGGUUAGCUCCCAGUGUAUAUAUAAGUUCAGCCAAUGAAUGAGAAAAUAAAGGCCAUGAGGG